rnacentral:rRNA from 1 species
UCGGGUCUAGUGGCGGACGGGUGAGUAACGCGUGGGAAUUUGCCUUUCGGUGCGGGACAACCAAGGGAAACUUUGGCUAAUACCGCAUACGUCCUACGGGGGAAAGAUUUAUCGCCGAAAGAGAAGCCCGCGUCGGAUUAGCUUGUUGGUAGGGUAAUGGCCUACCAAGGCGACGAUCCGUAGCUGGUCUGAGAGGAUGACCAGCCACACUGGGACUGAGACACGGCCCAGACUCC